rnacentral:rRNA from 1 species
GAUGAACGCUGGCGGCGUGCCUAAUACAUGCAAGUCGAGCGAACGGACGAGAAGCUUGCUUUUCUGAUGUUAGCGGCGGACGGGUGAGUAACACGUGGAUAACCUACCUAUAAGACUGGGAUAACUUCGGGAAACCGGAGCUAAUACCGGAUAAUAUUUUGAACCGCAUGGUUCAAAAGUGAAAGACGGUCUUGCUGUCACUUAUAAAUGGAUCCGCGCUGCAUUAGCUAGUUGGUAAGGUAACGGCUUACCAAGGCAACGAUGCAUAGCCGACCUGAGAGGGUGAUCGGCCACACUGGAACUGAGACACGGUCCAGACUCCUACGGGAGGCAGCAGUAGGGAAUCUUCCGCAAUGGGCGAAAGCCUGACGGAGCAACGCCGCGUGAGUGAUGAAGGUCUUCGGAUCGUAAAACUCUGUUAUUAGGGAAGAACAUAUGUGUAAGUAACUGUGCACAUCUUGACGGUACCUAAUCAGAAAGCCACGGCUAACUACGUG